rnacentral:rRNA from 1 species
UAACUAAUGUGAAUUGCAGAAUUCAGUGAAUCAUCGAGUCUUUGAACGCACCUUGCGCCCUUUGGUACUCCGAAGGGCAUGCCUGUUUGAGUGUCAGUAACUUCUCAACCUCCCUCACUUUGUUGUGAGCUGGCGGAUUGGACGUGGGGGCUUGCUGGAC